ACUAUUGGAUUUGUCAUGCCAUUGACUGUAAAUAUUUAGUCGUAGCUCAGCGAUUGUUCGGAGCGGAACCUAAAUUCUCUAAAUCGAUUGAGUCUUCCGAAUGGUCGGCGUUAAAACCCACUGUCACGACGGAGUCUUCCGAAAGAGUCUUCGCAUAGUCAGUAGUAGAACCCAGUGUCAUGAUUUAGAACUCCGAAAGGUGUGUAAAAACAUUCAAAUCAUCGUCAUUUUCAUCUUCAACUGAAGCCUCGACUGCGUCUUCCUAAUGGCCGGCGGUAGAACCCAAUAUCACGAUUGAGUCUUCCGAGUGUGUCUUCGCAUGGUCGGUUAGGGGAAGAAUACGAAUUAUCUUUGUCAUCGCUUCAACAAGCGAAUGGAUAACAUUAUUGUCGUUAAAAUUGCGACUCUGGUUCUGGGAGCACAAUGGUCUCGUAGACGGUGGUAGUAUGCCCCACUCCCAAAAAGGAUCGUAUGACUGCAAGCGUGAAGGAUACCAUUGUAUUACCGUUUUCUCCCUCGCAGGCUGCAACCGAAGCCAGGCCUGAGCGGUUAAGCACUAGUGCUGGAACAUCCGCCUUUCUCUUCUUUGGUAUGAUUUCUAUAUAAGAGGGGUGCAUGCUGCUGGAUAUGACGAACAGAACGAUGGCUACAUCAUGGAACCCGCCUUCAAUGUCUCCCGAGGCGGAUCCAGUGCUCAACAGCAGAGUCUUGGAUUCAGUUGCAGCCUUAGAGAGAGGAAACAGUUCCACAACGGUGUCGUUCACAUUGGUUAUUGUACGAUCUUUAUAAAUUUGUAAUACUUUAUAUUAAUUAUAUGAAUACAAAUUAUUUUAUAUCCGA